rnacentral:rRNA from 1 species
UACGAAGGGGCUAGCGUUGCUCGGAAUCACUGGGCGUAAAGCGCACGUAGGCGGACUCUUAAGUCGGUGGUGAAAUCCUGGAGCUCAACUCCAGAACUGCCUUCGAUACUGGGAGUCUUAGAGUCCGGGAGAGGUGAGUGAACUGCGAGUGUAGAGGUGAAAUUCGUAGAUAUUCGCAAGAACACCAGUGGCGAAGGCGGCUCACUGGCCCGGUACUGACGCUGAGGUGCGAAAGCGUGGGGAGCAACAGG